AUCAUGGAGAGUUUGAUCCUGGCUCAGAACGAACGCUGGCGGCGCGUCUUAAGCAUGCAAGUCGAGCGGGUAGCAGUAAUGCGAAAGCGGCGGACUGGUGAGUAACGCGUGGGUGAUCUACCCUAGGGUUGGGGAUAGCCGCUAGAAAUAGCGGAUAAUACCGAAUAUCUUUAUGGAUCUUGAUUCAUAAAGAAAGGCGCUUCGGUGCCGCCCAAGGAUGAGCUCGCGUCCUAUUAGCCUGUUGGUGGGGUAAAGGCCUACCAAAGCUAUGAUAGGUAGCCGGCCUGAGAGGGUGAACGGCCACAUUGGGACUGAGAUACGGCCCAAACUCCUACGGGAGGCAGCAGCUAAGAAUAUUCCGCAAUGGACGAAAGUCUGACGGAGCGACG
rnacentral:rRNA from 1 species